rnacentral:lncRNA from 1 species
UGGGGAUGAUUUUGAAAAAAGAAUUUAUUUUUGACUCAAAUAGGGUAACAAUGGAUAUUUUUAUUUUUUUAUUUUUUUUUUAGGUAAAAACAAGAAGGCCACACAUCAUUUUGAACUCUGAUUGCUUUAUUUUCAAAAGAUUAAUUUUACGACUGGAUGACCUCAACAUGAAUCGUUUUUUCUUUUUGUUUCUUCCUUUUUUCCUUCUAGACUGCCCUUUCGGGUUUUCAAUCUAGUGGGCUUAUUCUUUUGCUUUUUUUUAUAUUACUUUGUCUUUCUUUUUUCAAUUUUUUCAAUUUGUCCUAUGGGAUUCAGAGAUCACCCUACUAGCGCAAGUGAGAAAACUUUUGGUCAGGCCAAUCUACCCUAAUGAAAAGGUUUACUUUGUUAUUGAGGGCAGCGGCGAUGUUUGUUGCGGGGAAAUCCUUUAUUUUGGGAAAAGUGAUGGGUGGAGAUUUUCAAGCAGCAUGUGUACAAACGUCUUGAGAGAAGCGUCAAAAUUGUUAUUUUUGAUUUAACAUUUGACCUCGGAAAAGUCUGACACUAUAACUUUUGUUCUUAUUGCCAUUUUUUAUAUCAUUUUUUUUUUUGCUAUUUUCCAAAAACAAGAGUUUGAAGAUUUGCAAGAAAGAAGAAUGACUCAAGAUCGCCAUCAUUUUUUCACUUAUUUUUUCACAAUACCCUUUCAGAACUCGAUUUCCAGCCCUACUUGGAGAAACCCUGUAGAGAAAGUUCGCAUUUAAAGUCAUGGAUGACGGCGCGAUAUCAAUGAACACAGAUCUCUUGGCAAGAUACUUCACAACAUCAAAUUCACUUGUANGAUGACUUAUGUUUUCUUAUGCGUUUCUAGAGCCCGCAUCAUUGUUUCAUAGCAUCUGUAGAGACAUUCUCAAGCCUUGCCUUAGUGUAGGGUUGACUUUCUUUACACUUUAAUAAUUCUGAAUCGAUCAAAACUUGUCUUUGCGCUUGACAACAGACACUUUUGGUGUAAUGAUCAAUAGCCCCUUCAUGGUGAAUACCUUUCGUAUCGUGAGUCUUGAAGUAUUGAGGGUCUUAAGGCUUCAUGUAACAAUUAGAGACAAGACCUUUUUGAAGCAGACUUGGAAGCAACGUUGCUUAAGUCAUAUGUAUAGGAGUGAAGCUCGCAGCCUUUUCUCUUGAUCAAACAUUUUCCUGCCCAACGGCUUAGUGAGAAGUUGAGUUUGAAUCAAAUAUCCCAUUUGUCUUGCAAUUGUUUCAAGUGAAGGGUAGGCCAACGAGAUUUGAGCGAUAGGAGGUGAUUAAACUCUUUGCUUUCUUCUCUUCGCAAGCUUAAACCCGACCUGUUCAUAUUUGUUGUCAUGAUAUGACUUUGCGCGAUCUUUCCAAUCCUCACAUUAACUUCAAUUCUUUCUUCAAGUAUCCUCAGGUCUACAAAGUUUGAGGAACACUGCUCAUCAUGAUCUCAUAGAAGGGUGAUCGCAGAGUAUUUAGGAAUGUGUCAACCAUUUCAUUAUCACUCAUAAGAGACUUUCCUUGAGCAACAUUCUUUUCGCCUUUGGGAAUACUUUUUGAAUGAUUCAGACUCCUCCACAAAGCUCUACAGUUGUAAUCUAUUGGGUGCCACAUCCAUGUUAUAUUUACACUGCCUCAAGAAAGUAUCCACCAGAUCCUCCCAAGAUUGGAUGCACGAAUGUUCAAGAUGAUAGCUUCAGUUUAGUGGCAUACCGGCCAAUCUACCUUGGAAGAAAUGAAUUAGUAACUUUUCAUCAUAUGCACACACAGUCGUUUUCUUGUCAUACGCCAUGAGAUGGCUUAUAAGACAAGCGGUCCCUCUAUAUUUCUCACCUUUGGAAAAUUUAAACUUUUGAAUGUAUCAUCAGAUUCGGGACUAAGCAAGCCUUGCAACAUUUUCAUACUUAGCGCUUCAUUCACCUUCUAUGGCUGUCAUCCUUUUUCAACAUUUCAAAUUUGCCCCUGUCAACCUCAACAUCUACUGGUGUGCAAAUAGGGAAAGAAUAUUUCAACUCAGAUUGCCUUGUCAUCGUCAUGCUCACAAUACUUGAUUAAAGCAUUUUCCUAGGGACCAUGAAAGUGCUUGCCCCAA